rnacentral:rRNA from 1 species
AUUGAACGCUGGCGGCAUGCCUUACACAUGCAAGUCGAACGGUAACGGGCCUUCGGGUGCCGACGAGUGGCGCACGGGUGAGUAAUACAUCGGAACGUGCCCGAUCGUGGGGGAUAACGAGGCGAAAGCUUUGCUAAUACCGCAUACGAUCUACGGAUGAAAGCAGGGGACCGCAAGGCCUUGCGCGGACGGAGCGGCCGAUGGCAGAUUAGGUAGUUGGUGGGAUAAAAGCUUACCAAGCCGACGAUCUGUAGCUGGUCUGAGAGGAUGAUCAGCCACACUGGGACUGAGACACGGCCCAGACUCCUACGGGAGGCAGCAGUGGGGAAUUUUGGACAGUGGGCGCAAGCCUGAUCCAGCCAUGCCGCGUGCAGGAUGAAGGCCUUCGGGUUGUAAACUGCUUUUGUACGGAACGAAAAGCCUUCUUUUAAUACAGGAGGGUCAUGACGGUACCGUAAGAAUAAGCACCGGCUAACUACGU